GGAGGGAAUGCAGGAUCCUAGCUGUGUCCCCCGGCACCCUGGGCUCCGGGGCCUGCAUUGCUGGUAUCACAAUCUGGGCAUUGCAGCCCCCU
rnacentral:pre_miRNA from 1 species